AAUGAACGCUGGCGGCGUGCCUGACACAUGCAAGUCGGAUGUGCCGCAAGGUGCAUGGCAGACGGGUGAGUAACGCGUAGGGAAUCUACCUUUUUGUGGGGAAUAACGCUCCGAAAGGAGUGGUAAUACCGCAUGAGACCGUGACCUGGGAUGGCUACGGUGAAACCUGGGGACCGCAAGGCCUGGGGCAAAAAGAGGAUCCUGCGUCUGAUUAGCUAGUUGGCGGGGUAAUGGCCCACCAAGGCGACGAUCAGUAGCCGGCCUGAGAGGGUGAUCGGCCACACUGGAACUGAGACACGGUCCAGACUCCUACGGGAGGCAGCAGUGGGGAAUUUUGCGCAAUGGACGAAAGUCUGACGCAGCAACGCCGCGUGGGUGAUGAAGGUCUUCGGACUGUAAAACCCUGUCGUCAGGGACGAAGGUGGCAGUGUUAAUAGCGCUGUUACUUGACGGUACCUGGAGAGGAAGCCCCGGCUAACUCUGUGCCAGCAGCCGCGGUAAU
rnacentral:rRNA from 1 species